AUGGGGUGACUGCGUACCUUUUGUAUAAUGGGUCAGCGACUUAUAUUCUGUAGCGAGGUUAACCGUAUAGGGGAGCCGUAGGGAAACCGAGUCUUAACUGGGCGAAUGAGUUGCAGGGUAUAGACCCGAAACCCGGUGAUCUAUCCAUGGGCAGGUUGAAGGUUGGGUAACACUAACUGGAGGACCGAACCGACUAAUGUUGAAAAAUUAGCGGAUGACUUGUGGAUGGGGGUGAAAGGCCAAUCAAACCGGGAGAUAGCUGGUUCUCCCCGAAAGCUAUUUAGGUAGCGCCUCGUGAACUCAUCUUCGGGGGUAGAGCACUGUUUCGACUAGGGGGUCAUCCCGACUUACCAACUCGAUGCAAACUGCGAAUACCGAAGAAUGUUAUCACGGGAGACACACGGCGGGUGCUAACGUCCGUCGUGAAGAGGGAAACAACCCAGACCGCCAGCUAAGGUCCCAAAGUCAUGGUUAAGUGGGAAACGAAGUGGGAAGGCUCAGACAGCCAGGAUGUUGGCUUAGAAGCAGCCAUCAUUUAAAGAAAGCGUAAUAGCUCACUGGUCGAGUCGGCCCGCGCGGAAGAUGUAACGGGGCUAAACCAUGCACCGAAGCUGCGGCAGCGACACAAAGUGUUGUUGGGUAGGGGAGCGUUCUGUAAGCCUGCGAAGGUGUACUGUGAGGUAUGCUGGAGGUAUCAGAAGUGCGAAUGCUGACAUAAGUAACGAUAAUGCGGGUGAAAAACCCGCACGCCGGAAGACCAAGGGUUCCUGUCCAACGUUAAUCGGGGCAGGGUGAGUCGACCCCUAAGGCGAGGCUGAAAAGCGUAGUCGAUGGGAAACGGGUUAAUAUUCCCGUACUGGUGGUAACUGCGAUGGGGGAACGGAGAAGGCUAGGUUGUCCGGGCGACGGUCGUCCCGGUUCAAGCAGGUAGGCAGAGUGAUUAGGCAAAUCCGGUCACUUAAUGCUGAGAUGUGAUGACGAACCACUAAGGUGGUGAAGCAAUUGAUGCCCCGCUUCCAGGAAAAGCCUCUAAGCUUCAGGUUACCAACAAUCGUACCCCAAACCGACACAGGUGGUCAGGUAGAGAAUACUCAGGCGCUUGAGAGAACUCGGGUGAAGGAACUAGGCAAAAUGGUGCCGUAACUUCGGGAGAAGGCACGCUGGCGGUAGGUAAAGUCCCUCGCGGACGGCGCUGAAGCCAGUCGAAGAUACCAGCUGGCUGCAACUGUUUAUUAAAAACACAGCACUGUGCAAACACGAAAGUGGACGUAUACGGUGUGACGCCUGCCCGGUGCUGGAAGGUUAAUUGAUGGGGUUAGCGCAAGCGAAGCUCCUGAUCGAAGCCCCAGUAAACGGCGGCCGUAACUAUAACGGUCCUAAGGUAGCGAAAUUCCUUGUCGGGUAAGUUCCGACCUGCACGAAUGGCGUAAUGAUGGCCAGGCUGUCUCCACCCGAGACUCAGUGAAAUUGAACUCGCUGUGAAGAUGCAGUGUACCCGCGGCAAGACGGAAAGACCCCGUGAACCUUUACUAUAGCUUGACACUGAACAUUGAGCCUUGAUGUGUAGGAUAGGUGGGAGGCUUUGAAGUGUGGACGCCAGUCUGCAUGGAGCCAACCUUGAAAUACCACCCUUUAACGUUUGAUGUUCUAACCUAGGCCCAUAAACUGGGUCGGGGACCGUGUCUGGUGGGUAGUUUGACUGGGGCGGUCUCCUCCUAAAGAGUAACGGAGGAGCACGAAGGUUGGCUAAGCAUGGUCGGACAUCAUGCGGUUAGUGCAAAGGCAUAAGCCAGCUUGACUGCGAGAGUGACGGCUCGAGCAGGUACGAAAGUAGGUCUUAGUGAUCCGGUGGUUCUGAAUGGAAGGGCCAUCGCUCAACGGAUAAAAGGUACUCCGGGGAUAACAGGCUGAUACCGCCCAAGAGUUCAUAUCGACGGCGGUGUUUGGCACCUCGAUGUCGGCUCAUCACAUCCUGGGGCUGAAGUAGGUCCCAAGGGUAUGGCUGUUCGCCAUUUAAAGUGGUACGCGAGCUGGGUUUAGAACGUCGUGAGACAGUUCGGUCCCUAUCUGCCGUGGGCGUUGGAAGAUUGAGAGGGGUUGCUCCUAGUACGAGAGGACCGGAGUGAACGCACCACUGGUGUUCGGGUUGUCAUGCCAAUGGCAUUGCCCGGUAGCUAAGUGCGGAAGAGAUAACCGCUGAAAGCAUCUAAGCGGGAAACUUGCCUCGAGAUGAGUCUUCCCUGUCGCUUUAAGCGACCUAAAGGAACGUUUAAGACUAAGACGUUGAUAGGCUGGGUGUGUAAGCGUAGCGAUACGUUGAGCUAACCAGUACUAAUGAACCGUGAGGCUUAACCUG
rnacentral:rRNA from 1 species